CCGCGGGGGAAUCGCAGUGAGCAGCGCGGGGCGAGGCCGCCGCGGACGCCCCGUCGGAUGUGCCCUUCGCUGGGCCGAGCGGCGCAGGGUUGGAGAGGGAAGCGCUCGUGCCCACCUUGCUCGCAGGUGCCCUUGCUGACCUGGGUGAUGGCCUUCUCCCCGCGGCUCUCGGCCCUCUGGCUGGCGGCGCGCAGCUGGCAGCCGCUCGGGGGACUGUUCUAAGAACUUAUAAGAGUUAAGAAAAAAAAUUAUCUUCAAACAUCAUUACCUCUGGAAAGCUCUUCCUGACCCACAAACUAGGUUGGGUUCAUGUGCUACAAGCUCUCACAGGACCAUGUUUCCUUCAUUAGGGCAUUUAUAUCAGUGUGGAAAUGGAUGUGGACGCGGUGCUGCUGCCUGAGAUUAGCAGGAAGCAAUUCUUUUCCCAUUUGGAGAGACCCCGGUGAGACCUGAUCAACUAGCAACAUGCGGAAGUCACACCAUUAAGUCUUCCAAUUUGCUAGCAGCAAAUCAAUGAACUCUGAUAGCUGCUGCCCUAAGCUAGCAUCCAGGGAACUGUGGACAAGCUAUUUGAUACCUGAAUUUUAGUGAAGGAAAGUUAAAUUUUUUCUUAAAGCAGGGUGGGAGUGGGGUUGUGUGGGGAAGAUUAUAUUAAGCAGUGAGAGAAGACAGAUGGAGUUUUGUAGAAAGAGAGCUGGUUGUUUUAAAUUGUAUCUUAAAUUUAUUGUAGAGCUAUUGGUAAUUAGUGUUUUGUUGUUGUGUGUUUAUACCAACCAAUUAAUAAGAAAGGCUUUUAUUUUUAUUUCAUCAGUUGGAGCUGAACUUUAUUUUUUAUUAUAAAUAUAAGGCAUUAUUCUAGGGCCUGGCAAACAUAGGCAGCCACUUUUUUUUUCUGGGGAAGAUUAUACCUUGGUAUGUUUUCACCACUGUGAGAUGAAAAUUUGAGAACAGUGAGAGACAGAUGCUUGCCUGAGGAGUUUUAUUUUCCCUUUAAUCCUUAUCAAAUAUCCAGAUAUUACCUAUAUUGCCUUGAUCUGCUGUCUGAAGGCUUUGUUGGGCCAGGAGAUGGUUUUGCAGCAGCAGAAGACUAUGAACUGGGCUUUGGGAGAUAGGAUCUCUGGUUGUAUUCUGGCUAUCCACACUCUGAAAGAGGACCGUGACAGAGAAUUUGAGUAUCCUACCAAUAUACCUACAAAAGGAUGAAAGAAGAUUUGGAGUCAAGGGAAAACAAGGGCAAUAAAAUAGAAGCUUACCACCUGCUCUCAUACAGUUGCUAGAAGAGGACUGCAUAUUUGGUUCUAAGUUUCUGGAAGAUAAAGCCAAAAUAGAAACACAACUCAUUAUAAAAUUUUGGUGUAUCCAUAAAAUAAAAACAAAUGACCUGUUUGA
ensembl:lncRNA IGFBP7-AS1 IGFBP7 antisense RNA 1